GCCAAUCACGUGCGCUCACUAGUUUCAGUCUCCUGAGCUGCGCGAGUAUGACUGAUGAUCUUCAUUUCGCAGAGAUGUCAGUGAUCUAAAACGAUCAAGGACUGGAGACCACCACAAAAAAAAAAAAAAGCCAAA